rnacentral:rRNA from 1 species
UACGGGGGGAGCAAGCGUUGUUCGGAUUUACUGGGCGUAAAGGGCGCGUAGGCGGCGCAACAAGUCACUUGUGAAAUCUCCGGGCUUAACUCGGAAAGGUCAAGUGAUACUGUUGUGCUAGAGUGCGGAAGGGGCAACUGGAAUUCUCGGUGUAGCGGUGAAAUGCGUAGAUAUCGAGAGGAACACCUGCGGCGAAGGCGGGUUGCUGGGCCGGACACGUGACGCUGGAUGCGCGAAAGCCAGGGGAGCGAACGGG